GCCAGAUGCCAUGUGAGAUGCUAAGAACACGGUCUCACUCCUAGCCUAGAGAUCAACAAACAGGAUGGUUGUGAAGUGACAGUCUAUAUAAGCUGCUGGGGCUCCUGCAAUGUUCUCUGUUCCAGUUCUCUCUGCAGCCACCAGUAUGUAACAGUCCCAGGAUAAACAUGAGAGAAAUGAAGCUAAAAGUAUAAAGCCAUAUAUAUUGUAUAGCUCUGGGACAGUUUUUCAAAGCUUCCUGAGAGCUAGGAUCAUGACUCUACCUUUGAAUCAAG